GAGGGGUUCCAAGCUGACGACACACAUGCUUUACGUGAUGAUGAUGACGAUUAAAACUUGAAGAACGUGCAAUCCAACAUUGCGUUCUGAUUAUGUAGGUUAGCAGUCACCCGGAGAGCUGAACUAACCCAGCUCCCAGACAGACUCACAGGACAGAUCAUCAAAGUGCACAGUGAAGCUUUUGAAGAGCCAAUUAUUUCAACAACCUACAAAAAAAUAUAGAGAUAUUUUUUUUUAAUGUGUUUCACUCAAACCUCAUACUCGGUGCUUGACUUUAUAACCAGUGGAAACAUUUCAAAAAAGAAAUAAAAAGAAAACCAUUAUAACAUUGUACAAUAACAUUAACAAAAUGACAAACAAAACCACAAUCUGCAAUUUCCAGUAUAUUCAGUCACCUCUACUUCCUGAUAUGAAACUUUCUAUUCUGAUUGGCUGUUGUUGUUUGUCUACUGUUUUACCGUUGGCUCUCCUUGCUGCCUAUCCAAUGAGCCAUCUCUCAGACAGACAAUAGGCAUGUGUGGGGGGUCCUGUCUCUCCCAGACAGUUGUCCCCUCUCUGACUGUGUUAACCUCAGGCCCUAUUUGAAGGCCUUGUUGACAGGAGAGGGUAGUGCUGCAGCAGAGGGUUGAUUUUGUUCUCAGGGUCACUAAGACAGCUGUUGUAAAUGGGACAAGCUCAGCCCUUGUUUACAACUAUGAGGAGCAAGCCCCCUCCACAUUUCUGCCCCUUACAGUGCUCUAUUGGGAUAAAGACACCACCCAAAUCAAAUCAAAUCAAAACACCCCGGCAGCAACACUGUGAGUGUUGUAAUGCCCACUACCAAAUUUGAUCAAACAGAUAGUUAAACAUAAAAAUGUUUAUUCAAAUAAUUAGUUCUUGUCACAUUUUGAAAACACACUCGUUACAAAGUCAGACUGCACCUGUCUAUUGUCUGCAAGGUCUCUACUAAACUACCAGUGGAAACCAGCAUGGUGAAGGGGUCACACCAGUGAGAACCAGCAUGGUGAAGGGGUCACACCAGUGAGAACCAGCAUGGUGAAGGGGUCACACCAGUGAGAACCAGCAUGGUGAAGGGGUCACACCAGUGGAAACCAGCAUGGUGAAGGUGUCACACCAGUGAGAACCAGCAUGGUGAAGGGGUCACACCAGUGAGAAUCAGCAUGGUGAAGGGGUCACACCAGUGGAAACCAGCAUGGUGAAGGGGUCACACCAGUGAGAACCAGCAUGGUGAAGGGGUCACACCAGUGAGAACCAGCAUGGUGAAGGGGUCACACCAGUGAGAACCAGCAUGGUGAAGGGGUCACACCAGUGAGAACCAGCAUGGUGAAGGGGUCACACCAGUGAGAACCAGCAUGGUGAAGGGGUCACACCAGUGAGAACCAGCAUGGUGAAGGGGUCACACCAGUGAGAACCAGCAUGGUGAAGGGGUCACACCAGUGAGAACCAGCAUGGUGAAGGGGUCACACCAGUGAGAACCAGCAUGGUGAAGGGGUCACACCAGUGAGAACCAGCAUGGUGAAGGGGUCACACCAGUGAGAAUCAGCAUGGUGAAGGGGUCACACCAGUGAUAACCAGCAUGGUGAAGGGGUCACACCAGUGAGAACCAGCAUGGUGAAGGGGUCACACCAGUGAGAACCAGCAUGGUGAAGGGGUCACACCAGUGAGAACCAGUACACUCUUAAAAAGAAAGGUGCUAUCUAGAACCUAAAAGGGUUCUUCGGUUUUCCUCAUAAGAGAACACUUUGAAGGACCCUGUUUGGUUCCAGCUAAAACCCUUUUGGGUUCCAGGUAGAACCAUUUUGGUUCUAGGUAGAACCCUUUUGGGUUCCAUGUAGAACACUUUCCACAGAGUGUUUUACCCAAAAGGGUUCUAGCUGGAAGCAAAAGGGAUCUACCUUGAACCUAAAAUGGCUUUUCCUAUGAGGACAGCCGAAAAAAAAUAUUGUUCUAAGAGUGUAUGGUGAAGGGCUCAAACCAAUGUAAACCAGUAUAGUGAAGGGGUCAAACUAAUGUAAACUAGUAUAGUGAAGGGGUCAAACUAAUGUAAACUAGUAUAGUGAAGGGGUCAAACUAAUGUAAACUAGUAUAGUGAAGGGGUCAAACUAAUGUAAACUAGUAUAGUGAAAGGGUCAAACUAAUGGAAACUAGUAUAGUGAAAGGGUCAAACUAAUGUAAACUAGUAUAGUGAAGGGGUCAAACUAAUGGAAACUAGUAUAGUGAAGGGGUCAAACUCAUGUAAACUAGUAUAGUGAAGGGGUCAAACUAAUGUAAACUAGUAUAGUGAAGGGGUCAAACUAAUGGAAACUAGUAUAGUGAAGGGGUCAAACUCAUGUAAACUAGUAUAGUGAAGGGGUCAAACUCAUGUAAACUAGUAUAGUGAAGGGGUCAAACUCAUGUAAACCAGUACAGUGAAGGGGUCACACCAGUGGAAACCAGUAUAGUGAAGGGGUCACACCAGUGGAAACCAGUAUAGUGAAGGGGUCACACCAGUGGAAACCAGUAUAGUGAAGGUGUCACACCAGUGGAAACCAGUACAGUGAAGGGGUCACACCAGUGGAAACCAGUACAGUGAAGGGGUCACACCAGUGGAAACCAGUAUAGUGAAGGGGUCACACCAGUGGAAACCAGUACAGUGAAGGUGUCACACCAGUGGAAACCAGUACAGUGAAGGGGUCACACCAGUGGAAACCAGUACAGUGAAGGGGUCACACCAGUGGAAACCAGUACAGUGAAGGGGUCACACCAGUGGAAACCAGUAUAGUGAAGGUGUCACACCAGUGGAAACCAGUACAGUGAAGGGGUCACACCAGUGGAAACCAGUACAGUGAAGGGGUCACACCAGUGGAAACCAGUACAGUGAAGGUGUCACACCAGUGGAAACCAGUAUGGUUGAGAGCGUUAGCGUCAGAACGAGGAGGAGCGUUAAGGUCAUUGUUAUCUGGCUUUGUGGUGGUGGAGUGUAACCCUCAUGUUGAAUAAAUGAAUGACUGAUGCAGCCUUGGUAGUAGCUAGUCCUCCCUCCCUGCUGAGUAUCUCCCCUGUAUCUCCUCCACCACAGCACUUAACCUUUGAGCCAAUCACCUUUAUCUACCCUACAUCCCACCCCUUUCAAUGCCCUUGGAGUAGUGUCCUAAGAUAAGCCAGAGGAGGCAGGGGGGGUCACUAGGCCACAGGAGGAACUGAAAGCCCUUGAUAGGGAACACAUGCAAGGGAGGAGGGGAGUGGCAUGACACCUCUAAAGACUAGAGUCACUCCUGGGGGGUGAUAUGGUGUACUGGGGGAAGGAAGGGACUCUUUAUGUAAUGUACAACUGGAUCAGGCUGUUUUGGUAGAUGCACAUGUGUUUAUGUCUCCUCAUCCUUGUUUUUUGGCAAGGACCCUCAGGCAGGAUGCUAGGCUACCCUUUUGCUACAUAACAGUUUCAUAACAAAACCCACUUUAAUAUCUAGACUGGUAAAACCAUGUUUGACAACACCCAGCCAGUAGGCUAGACCUGGUGUCUUUAAUUAUAAUGGUGUCUAUCUGGUUCGAAUGGUGUCUAUUCAUUAUAAUGGUGUCUAUAUGGUUCUAAUGGUGUCAAUGGAUUAUAAUGGUAUCUAUCUGGUUCUAAUGGUGUCUAUUCAUUAUAAUGGUGUCUAUCUGUUUCUAAUGGUGUCUAUUCAUUAUAAUGGUAUCUAUAUGUUUCUUAUGGUGUCUAUUCAUUAUAAUGGUGUCUAUUAAUUAUAAUGGUGUCUAUCUCCUGCUCAGUGGCCCUGCUUUGCUAGGUUUGUCCAUGAGGCUUUCCGUAGUUGUAGAGCCCCUGCGAAUCUUCACUUCAGUCUCCUCUCCUAUCUUGUCCUCCACCAUGGUUUGAAUGUUGUUAUUUAGUUGACUUUUGGUUCUUACUGGGAGCCUUGUAGGCGUCUGCCUCUAUUACUUGAACUGUUGCAUCGCUCACUGUUGAAUGUCUUUAUAUUGAAAUAUAUAUAUAGAAAUAUAUUAAAGAAAAUAUCUCUUUUGUUGUUCUAUGGCGAGCAGGACUGGGUUGACUUUUAAAGAUAUAUAAUUACACAUGUUUAUGUCACAGAAAUCAUAUUAAGCUUCUUUGCAAGGAGGGAAGGAAGGAGGUGCUUUGUAAACUUUCUCAGAAAUAUGCUAAGAUCAUGUUUGUUGAUGAGAGCUUGUCUGAUAUUGCACACAUCACUCUUUGCAUCUUAAACGGUGCCCUAUCCCCUAUAUAGUCCACUACUUCUGGUCAAAAGUAGUGUUCUAGGUAAUACUGUCUCAUCUUAAGCCGCCAUUUUCUGCAGUAAGUCAAAGCAUUUCUCAUCUAUGAUGCUAAAUAUGUACUUUUUUUCUUCCUCUUGAUUUCGUCGUGUUGCUCCUCUAGUUUUUCUCUGUAUACUUCCCCCUGGCAUUGAGACCAAAGAUUUCAGUUGACUUCAUAUUUAGCCUUUAGUUGUUGAUAGUUUUGAAAGGGAUGUUUGUUUCCAUGUUUUAUAUUAUUUCCAAUGUCUUGCUUGCAAAAGAACGCAGAAGUUAAUAUGGUACAGUAGCUAGCUAGCAUUUAGGUUGUCAGAGUGAGUGAGUGUCCCGUAUAGUUAGCUAGCAUCCCCUCUUAGUGCUAAUUAUCAGUAACAGUAAUUAUCAUGAAGUAUGACAAUAAUUAAUUAUUGGGGAUAGAUGUUCCUGUGUGAUAUUUGAGGUAUAGGAUCUAUACUAAAGGACAUUGAUUUGUCUGUCCUCACUAAGCAGUGUGGUUGAGGAUAGUUUGCCUCGCAGUCUAUUUAAAUUAGACCUAUUGUUUUCUUCACUUUGAAGGCAAGGAGAGAUACAGGCAGAUUCAUUCUUAACCCAGGGUUGUAUUUUCCUGGUUAACCAGGUUCCUCUCCACACUCGUGAUGUGAGUGGGUUCAUUGGUCCAUUUUACUAUGCGUGUCAUUGGUGUGAUUCCUCUUUUAGUUUUGUUAAGGUUGUAAAGACCUCUUACUUCACCAAAAACACUCCCUGUGUCUGUCUCUUGUUUUCUCACAACACAGUCAUAUAUUUGCACACGUUGAUCCAGUCGGAGAGAUGGUUGCUCUCUCUCCCUCUCAGCUUGGAAAGGUGUAUAUGAAACAAGUACAAUGAGUUUCCCCCUGUCCAGUGGUUUGUCUUAAGAGAACAAGUGAUUGUCAGUCUCUGCAGGACAGAAAGCAACUGUCCUUUCUUUUGCUCUUUCACUCCAGAACUCAUGCAAUAUUACUUUCCUUUACUAUCAAGGGUUAGGGGUCAGGGGUCAGGGACAGAGAUGUGUUUAUGAGAGAACGCCACCGGUGUGUUUCUGUGGAACCAUGGUCAGUGGUUGUUGUUUUUUUGGGGGGGGGGGGGCAAGAUUUGCUGCACAUACUAUGAGACUUUGAGAGGGAAAUACAUUUCUAAGGGUUUGGAAGGGGGGCCAAACCAACAUAUAUAUGUUACCCAAGUUUACUUUUUGACUGUUUUAACUUAACAGUUUUCUGUGUGAAAACCAAACACUAAGUUGGAGUACAGGUACAGGGCCAUGCAGGCUUAGGUUUCCUAGAGUACCCCAGGACUGUUAUGUAGCUAUAAUGUCUGUUGUUCUUCUUGUUGACCUCAAGCAGUUCUGCAAAGUUUUAUUUGCAGCCAGUGAGGUUUGAACAUGUUGAGAUUCUCACUCGGAGUCUUCUGUGUUCUUGCCACUGCUAUCUGAUCACAAUACCCAGCACAGCUUCAAGGAGUACAGCUUAUACAAAAAAAUAAUCAUUUCAAAAGAAAAUAGAAGAAAAAAAAACAGUUUUGAAGAAAAUACAAGUGUAUAUGACUGUGUCCCUAUUCCCUCUUUUGACGUACAGAUCCAGCAUGCAUCUUGGGUACUAUUGACUGUUGUUUUUGUGUAUAAAAGAAAAAUUGAAGAAAAAAAAUCAGUUAAAAAAACAACUGUUAUUUGUCUGUUUAUGGUGUAUUCAGAUCUGAAUUGAAUCUAGCUAACUAAACAAGUCACUGCUUCCAGCUGAACCAAGUUAGUCCUAUUAUUGUCAGGUGUAUAACAUUAGAACUAAUGUAAUACUGAGAAAGAGGAACUGCACAGCAAUACAAAUGUGUGUUUAUUAUUGUGUGCUUGGCAACUGUCUCUCCAUAUUACAAUAUCUGUCAAUGUUUGAGACAUACAUUCAGUACAAUAUAAUAUGCUUUGAAUGUUCGACCUGUAAACCGCUUAUUGCGUGGCUUACAGUACACAAUUUACUCACAUAAUCCAACAAGUUAUUCUUACUAUUUCACAGACUGUUGGCAGCAUUUUGUAACUCCACCAGUUUUUGUUAUGCAGGCCAAUGCUUAGACACAAUAUCAGCAAUAAGAUAUUCCACUCUUUUAUUAAGAUAAUUACUGAUAAUAAUGACUGCUAUAUAAUUGUGUGUUUCUGGACCGACAUUGGUGUUGUUGCAUGUGGAUGGUCAUAGUCUUGUCUUCCUCUCCUACUUUGAGCAGUUUUAUACUCUGCAGACCAUUCAAACAGAGACCUCUUUCUCAGGAUUACACGUCAUCAUACAAACCUUGCUUCUGGCUUCUAUGGGUAUUUCUGUCUUCAUUUACGUUGGUUUUAAUUCCAUCACAGUACACUACUUUACUUUGCAAUAGUUUGUAUAGGUUGUAAAAUCUCAAUUUGUUAUGAGCUCAACUCAUGUACGUUAUCAAUGGAACUCCACCAUAUUGAUUUCUCUGGCAGAAUAAAGAUACUAUUUUGUUGAAA